rnacentral:rRNA from 1 species
GAUGAACGCUGGCGGCGUGCCUAAUACAUGCAAGUCGAGCGAACGGACGAGAAGCUUGCUUCUCUUAUGUUAGCGGCGGACGGGUGAGUAACACGUUGAUAACCUACCUAUAAGACUGGGAUAACUUCGGGACACCGGAGCUAAUACCGGAUAAUCUUUUGAACCGCAUGGUUCAACAGUUUACGACGGUCUUUCUGUCACUUAUCGAUGGAUCCGCGCUGCAUUAGCUAGCUGGUAAGGUAACGGCUUACCAAGGCAACGAUGCAUAGCCGACCUGAGAGAGUGAUCGGCCACACUAGAAAUGAGACGCGGUCCAGAAUACUACGGGAGGCAGCAGUAGGGAAUCUGCCGCAGUGGGCGAAAGCAUGACGGAACAACGCCGCGUGAGAGGUGAAGGUCUUCGGAGCGUGAAACUCUGUUAUUGGGGAAAAACAUAUGUGUAAGUAACUGUGCAGAACUUGACGGUACCUAAUCAGAAAGCCACGGCUAACUACGUG